rnacentral:rRNA from 1 species
GGCAGCUAGCAUGCAGUCAGGGGGCCCGCAAGGGCAACCGGCGAACGAGGUAGUAACACGUAGGAACGUACCCCAAAGUCUGGAAUAGCCCGCCGAAAGGCGGGGUAAUACCGGAUGGUCUCGAAAGAGUAAAGAUUUAUCGCUUUGGGAGCGGCCUGCGGAGUAUCAGCUAGUUGGUAGUGUAAUGGACUACCAAGGCAAUGACGCUUAGGGGAGGUGAGAGCCUGACCCCCACCGAUGGAACUGAGACACGGUCCAUACACCUACGGGUGGCCGCAGUCGAGAAUCUUCCGCAAUGGGCGAAAGCCUGACGGAGCGACGCCGCGUGAUUGAUGAAGUCCUUAGGGACGUAAAGAUCUUUUAUUGGGGAGGAAGUUUAUUGACGUUACCCAAUGAAUAAGGGGUUGCUAAACUCGUGCCAGCAGCAGCGGUAAUACGAGUGCCCCAAGCAUUAUCCGGAAUCACUGGGCGUAAAGAGUAUGUAGGUGGUCUUAUUAGUCCUUCGUUAAAGCUCCCGGCUUAACCGGGAAGGUGCGAGGGAAACGGUAAGACUAGUGGGCGCGAGAGGUUUGCGGAACUCAUGGUGUAGGGGUGAAAUCCGUUGAUAUCAUGGGGAACACCAAAUGCGAAGGCAGCAAACUGGCGCGUUCCAGACACUGAGAUACGGAAGCGUGGGUAGCGAAUGGGAUUAGAUACCCCAGUAGUCCACGCCCUAAACGAUGUCAACUGGCUUUCCGGAGUAUCGACCCUCUGGGAGGCGAAGCUAACGCGUUAAGUUGACCGCCUGGGUAGUACGAGCGCAAGCUUAAAACUCAAAGGAAUAGACGGGGACUUGCACAAGCGGUGGAUCAUGCGGUUUAAUUCGACGCAACGCGAAGAACCUUACCUACUCUUGAC